rnacentral:pre_miRNA from 11 species
GACCGCACGGGAUAAUCGCAUUAUCCCGUGCGGUUGGAUUAAGAUGACCGCCACGGGAUAAUGCAUUUUUCCAUGCGGUC